rfam:Roseburia intestinalis XB6B4 draft genome.
UACAAAUGCUAGGGGUGCUGUUUAUACCAUAUGGUAUUGACAACGUGCUGAGAGAUGAUUUCAUCGACCCUUAUUACUUGACCCGGAUAAUACCGGCGUAAGGAAGCGUUUUCUUUUACUU